rnacentral:lncRNA from 1 species
AAGAUAGAAAGGUUUAAUAUAAAUGACAAAGAAACAAAACAAGAUAGAUUCUGAAUUACAACCCUGAAGUAAUUCAAAAAAUAGAAAGAAAAACAAAACAAAAUACCAACAAUCCUUCCUGGUAAGGAGAGGAGUAUCUUUCCAAUUACUGAGCUUGACAUCUGAGCCACUGACUUGCACAUCACCAUGACUAGAGCUUUCACCACUGUCAAUGUUCUGCACCAUAAUAGAUUUAUCUUGAAUCAUUUUUUUGACUUCUCUUUUCAAAGUAUGACAGUCUUCAAUACUGUGACCCUGAAUAUUAGAAUGAUAUGCAUAUUGUACAUUAGGGUCAAAAUUUCUUGAAUGCGGGUCAGGAUUAGACCUAAGAAGAGAUGUGAUCAUGCCCUAUUAUACUAAUCUCUGGACCAAACUAGCAUACGAUUCUCCAAUUGGUGUAAAACUAUCCCUAGACUUCUGCCUCUUUUCAUUGUUUGACUUGGAUCGAACAUCGAACCUAGAAGGGUUUUGAUAUAUUUAUGGAGUAGGAGGAUGAAUCUGAGGAGUUGGUAUGUACCAUUGUGAGUAAGAAAGGAGUUGAACAUAUGGCUAUGUGCUAUAUACUAGAAAUAGAGGUGGGGAAAUAGAGUAUAAUGGAUUUUGGGAGUGACUAUAGACAGCUUGGUUAUGAACUUGGGCUUGACACUGAGGGUAACAAAGAUGUGGUCUUCUUGGACGUGCCCGUUGUCCAACUACAAUAGAAUAUGCAUCUUUCUCAUUAUUCUUCCCUCCAGGUUCCCAUAAUUGAUUGCAAUAUCGUCCCAAAUAUUUCAUGGAUUCCUCAUGUCCAUCAUGCUUCUCAAAUUUCGAUAUCUCAAGGCUUGGAGGAAGGUUAACACUUGAAGACAUGCCUCAAUUUUUAUAUGAAAUAUCUUUUUUACCUACAAGUCCUAGAAAUUUUUUCAUAGCAUUUUCUGCACUCUUCAUUUUUCAAAUCAUUUUAUCUUGCUCUUCUAUCAUGCCAGGCUUCUUGGUAAGAAAUUUUGGUGGUCCCAUUAACUUAAAUGUAGGAUCAAAAGCAUAGCAGUGAUCAUCGAGAGUACUAAACAUAGACUCAGUAGCAGAUUGGGGAAGCACAAUCAUUGGAUUGAUAGCCAAGGUAGGAGAUUCAGUAGAGGGUUGGGCAACAGAAGCAAAGACUACAGGUGGUACAAUCAAUGUGAUAGAUUUACACUGAAGAGAUAGAGAAUGAGUGAUGAAAAUAUUAGGAGUUUUUGGCUUGGAGUGAAUUCUGAGGCAUAUUGUGGUGCAUCUACAACAGCAGCAUACUAACUUUGCAAUUGUGAUGGAAGACUCAAGGUAUUUACGAGGUCAAUAAUGGGGAAUGGAGGAGAAGGCAAUCCAUUGACCCAAGAUCGAUACAUUUCAAUCAUUUGUUGUCUUAGCCUCAUAACCUCUUGCUUUGAACUCUCAUUUUCUUGAAUCUUUGUUUGAUGCAUGAUGUCACUCUCUAUAUCUUUGUUGGACCCAACUAAACCUUUCUUAAAUUUAGUGUGAUGUGGAGGACCAGCCAGAAUGCCAUAAACCAACCACCUUAAACUAACUCAAUUAGAGAUAACAAAUGUGUUAGAGUUCACCACUUUCUCAAUUUUUUUUCUUUGUUUUUGAAAAGAUCUCCGAACCCAAGAAGGGCUCCUACGUAUCUCACUCAUGAAAGAGAAAAAUCUUGUGUGUGUAGUUUGUGAAGUUUUGACACAACAUGGCCAAUCGAACUCUCUUUCUUUUUCUUUUCCUUUUUCUUGAACUUUAAGAAAAGAAGAAAAUAACAAAUUGUCAAAAGAAUUGACAAAAAAUCUUUUUGAAUUUUUCAUCUUUAACAUCUCUAUACAAAAUGAAAUCUAUAAUUACCAAAGAAAAAUCUUUUUGAAUUUUGAUUUUGAAUUUCAUACGAAAAUGAAACUUGAAACAAUUAAAGGAAAAUCUUUUUUUGUAGUUUUCUUUUAAAGAUGUAUAUUAAACACCUACUCUAAAUGAAGUGUGAAGAAAAUAUUUUUAAAUUUUUUAAAUAAGAUCACCGAACCCUAGAAGGGCUGCCUUCAUAUCUCACUCCGAAGAGAAGAGAAUCAGGUGUGCAUAGUUCGUUCAGAUCGGAAAAUUAGAGAUUAACUAACAGAUUGACCAUAAAUUAAGAAACACGACCAAAGACAAAUGAUGAACAACAUCAAUAAAAUCUUUUUUGGAUUUUUAAUUAGACACUUCAGAUAAAACUGACACCAACAACUAUGAAAGAAAGAUCUUUUUUUGGUAUUUUAGUUAUAUGAAACGUACAAAACUUCUACUUUGAAUUUUUCUUUUAUAAAAAUUUCUAUUGAAAGUUUUUUUUUUUUUAAUUUUCAAAUUAUAAUGCCUGCUAAAAAAAUAAAGACAAUUUUUUUUUGAAUUUUUGUUUUUUUGAGUAAAUGAGUGCAAAAGGUAAAAAAUUGUUUUGAAUUUUUGAAUUGUGAAAAACAAAAGCCAUAAAGAACACUAAAAAACUGCGAAACUCUUUUUUUUUACUCUUUUUUAUCUUUUUUUUUCAAGAUUUUCUUGCCUACACACUUUCCUUUAAUUCUGCCACAUAUUAUUCCUCAAAUCAGUCCGUCAAAUGAACGUUAGGAUACUUGGAGGGUAGUCAGCUACAAAGGACCAAACAAGUCCCGCUAGGUCUCAAUAUGAUGCAUAUAAGAAGGACCUAAAGACUAACCUACGUUGGAUUCAACUAACCAUUCUUUUCGGGGGAGCGUAUGGUCGAUAGUUAUUGCGAUUGCUUUCCACCUAUUCCAUACCAUCCAGCGGCUUUCCCUCCUAAAAUAAGGGUGACUCAACUAGAGGUCGUAUACACAGCAUGAUAUGGGUACGACCAUGAAAAUGGGUGAGUCCGAGAGUGAAUUGAACCGAGACUUGGAGUGUACACGUGAAGUGCAAAGGAAGGCCUAAAUAGGCUCUAAAAUCAGUCCAUACAAUGCACUCCAAGGGAGCCCACUUGAAGACUUUGAAUAAGGGGUCAUUUUGGACAUUUCACACUAUUCUUGUAAUACACUAUAAAUACAACCUUCUAGGGUUUCAUUCAUUAGACUUGUAGAAAUAGAGGUGGGGAAAUAGAGUAUAAUGGAUUUUGGGAGUGACUAUAGACAGCUUGGUUAUGAACUUGGGCUUGACACUGAGGGUAACAAAGAUGUGGUCUUCUUGGACGUGCCCGUUGUCCAACUACAAUAGAAUAUGCAUCUUUCUCAUUAUUCUUCCCUCCAGGUUCCCAUAAUUGAUUGCAAUAUCGUCCCAAAUAUUUCAUGGAUUCCUCAUGUCCAUCAUGCUUCUCAAAUUUCGAUAUCUCAAGGCUUGGAGGAAGGUUAACACUUGAAGACAUGCCUCAAUUUUUAUAUGAAAUAUCUUUUUUACCUACAAGUCCUAGAAAUUUUUUCAUAGCAUUUUCUGCACUCUUCAUUUUUCAAAUCAUUUUAUCUUGCUCUUCUAUCAUGCCAGGCUUCUUGGUAAGAAAUUUUGGUGGUCCCAUUAACUUAAAUGUAGGAUCAAAAGCAUAGCAGUGAUCAUCGAGAGUACUAAACAUAGACUCAGUAGCAGAUUGGGGAAGCACAAUCAUUGGAUUGAUAGCCAAGGUAGGAGAUUCAGUAGAGGGUUGGGCAACAGAAGCAAAGACUACAGGUGGUACAAUCAAUGUGAUAGAUUUACACUGAAGAGAUAGAGAAUGAGUGAUGAAAAUAUUAGGAGUUUUUGGCUUGGAGUGAAUUCUGAGGCAUAUUGUGGUGCAUCUACAACAGCAGCAUACUAACUUUGCAAUUGUGAUGGAAGACUCAAGGUAUUUACGAGGUCAAUAAUGGGGAAUGGAGGAGAAGGCAAUCCAUUGACCCAAGAUCGAUACAUUUCAAUCAUUUGUUGUCUUAGCCUCAUAACCUCUUGCUUUGAACUCUCAUUUUCUUGAAUCUUUGUUUGAUGCAUGAUGUCACUCUCUAUAUCUUUGUUGGACCCAACUAAACCUUUCUUAAAUUUAGUGUGAUGUGGAGGACCAGCCAGAAUGCCAUAAACCAACCACCUUAAACUAACUCAAUUAGAGAUAACAAAUGUGUUAGAGUUCACCACUUUCUCAAUUUUUUUUCUUUGUUUUUGAAAAGAUCUCCGAACCCAAGAAGGGCUCCUACGUAUCUCACUCAUGAAAGAGAAAAAUCUUGUGUGUGUAGUUUGUGAAGUUUUGACACAACAUGGCCAAUCGAACUCUCUUUCUUUUUCUUUUCCUUUUUCUUGAACUUUAAGAAAAGAAGAAAAUAACAAAUUGUCAAAAGAAUUGACAAAAAAUCUUUUUGAAUUUUUCAUCUUUAACAUCUCUAUACAAAAUGAAAUCUAUAAUUACCAAAGAAAAAUCUUUUUGAAUUUUGAUUUUGAAUUUCAUACGAAAAUGAAACUUGAAACAAUUAAAGGAAAAUCUUUUUUUGUAGUUUUCUUUUAAAGAUGUAUAUUAAACACCUACUCUAAAUGAAGUGUGAAGAAAAUAUUUUUAAAUUUUUUAAAUAAGAUCACCGAACCCUAGAAGGGCUGCCUUCAUAUCUCACUCCGAAGAGAAGAGAAUCAGGUGUGCAUAGUUCGUUCAGAUCGGAAAAUUAGAGAUUAACUAACAGAUUGACCAUAAAUUAAGAAACACGACCAAAGACAAAUGAUGAACAACAUCAAUAAAAUCUUUUUUGGAUUUUUAAUUAGACACUUCAGAUAAAACUGACACCAACAACUAUGAAAGAAAGAUCUUUUUUUGGUAUUUUAGUUAUAUGAAACGUACAAAACUUCUACUUUGAAUUUUUCUUUUAUAAAAAUUUCUAUUGAAAGUUUUUUUUUUUUUAAUUUUCAAAUUAUAAUGCCUGCUAAAAAAAUAAAGACAAUUUUUUUUUGAAUUUUUGUUUUUUUGAGUAAAUGAGUGCAAAAGGUAAAAAAUUGUUUUGAAUUUUUGAAUUGUGAAAAACAAAAGCCAUAAAGAACACUAAAAAACUGCGAAACUCUUUUUUUUUACUCUUUUUUAUCUUUUUUUUUCAAGAUUUUCUUGCCUACACACUUUCCUUUAAUUCUGCCACAUAUUAUUCCUCAAAUCAGUCCGUCAAAUGAACGUUAGGAUACUUGGAGGGUAGUCAGCUACAAAGGACCAAACAAGUCCCGCUAGGUCUCAAUAUGAUGCAUAUAAGAAGGACCUAAAGACUAACCUACGUUGGAUUCAACUAACCAUUCUUUUCGGGGGAGCGUAUGGUCGAUAGUUAUUGCGAUUGCUUUCCACCUAUUCCAUACCAUCCAGCGGCUUUCCCUCCUAAAAUAAGGGUGACUCAACUAGAGGUCGUAUACACAGCAUGAUAUGGGUACGACCAUGAAAAUGGGUGAGUCCGAGAGUGAAUUGAACCGAGACUUGGAGUGUACACGUGAAGUGCAAAGGAAGGCCUAAAUAGGCUCUAAAAUCAGUCCAUACAAUGCACUCCAAGGGAGCCCACUUGAAGACUUUGAAUAAGGGGUCAUUUUGGACAUUUCACACUAUUCUUGUAAUACACUAUAAAUACAACCUUCUAGGGUUUCAUUCAUUAGACUUGGCUAAAUAUUGAUGUUGUAUCACACUUAGAAACAUUUCUCUCUUAUGAGAAAGGCUCCCAUAGCCGAAAUCCAUGUAACUAGAAUUUUCAACUUGAGGGUGGAAUCUCUCGUAUUGGAUUCAUGCUUGGAAACGUUGGGUGCAUUGAGAGAUCAAGGUCCCUCUUGUUCCUAUGUAGGAGAUAGGUUAGUGUUGUGUGUAGUAUUAAAGGUCCAAAAGUGUAACAAUUCUUUGGUUGUUAAUAUUACUGCCUCAUUUGAUCCAUCUAUCUAUCUUUAUGUUUCAGAUUUGUAGUGGACUGUUUUGUGUCUUUGUUGAAUCUGAAUUUUGUAAUCAUUGUGUUCAUCUUGUUCAUUGUGUAUUGUGGCUGUUUUGGUGUUGAAAACACACCUCUUUAUCUUGUUAUUAUGUGGUUGUAGCGAAUCCGAGAGUGAUCUCCAUCUUAGUCCUCAAAUCCUUCAGAUUAGUGGACUGUUUUGAAGUUGUUUCGUGUUUCUCUUAUUUUUCCCGCAUCACAGCGUAUACUACGGGACUUAUUGCGAAAGAAAUGACUUGGGUUAUGCAGAUGAUGACAGAUAUAAAGAGGUAACACAUAGGAGAAAAACUGUAAACACGUCGCAUGUAGGCACUCAACGAUGAUAAAAAAAACAACACAACUGAUAACAUAAACAACGUCUAUACACCCAUAAUGUCAAACUAAACCGAUAUAACUUAAAAAAUAAGCUCGAAUUCUGAAAAAUCUCCAGCAGAGUCGCCAGAGAUGUCACACCCCCUUUUUUAACCAAAAAGAUUAUUUUAAGUUUGAAAAGGAUUUUAUUAUUAAGUGACAAAAGAAAUAAUUUAUUUCGAAAAUGAUUGUUUAUAUUCAAAACUCAGAGUUGCUACUUGAAAAAAAUUGAGUGUGUCAAGUCACCUUUCGAAAUUCUUUUUCAAAAUGAUUUUGGCUUUUUAAAAGUGAUCUACGAACAGAGAUUUUGAUUAAGGAAUCUGUUGACCAAGGGGAAGGUGUUAGGCACCUCUCGAUCCCGUGAUUCGAUCACAGUGGCUUUAUGGAGUAUAUCGGCUAGUCUGACGCUAUGAAUUUAAUAAACCACAUAAAACACACAAAACAAACAAACACACGGAAAUAAAACAAAUCCAAAAGUAGUGUCCAGUCCAAAUUAUACAGUCCUAAAAAUGAAAAUGAAGAAAUGAAAACCUACUUUAUUCUAGACUAAUCCUAAACUAAACUCCACCCGACAUUGCAGGCCUUGAUCGCGCGCCAUCUUCGAAUACAACUUUCUCAGGACAUUCCAUGGAUAAAACAAUGCAGAUACCUCGAGGCAUUCCCCGAAUAAAAUAAUACAGAUACCUUAGAUCAUUCUCCGGCCAAAUAGUACAAUUGAUUCAAGUGCGACAAAACAAAACAAUUCAAUGCACAUUUUUAAACAUUCAACAAUCAAAAAUCCACUAAGUUUUGUCUACCCAACCUAAGAUUUGCCUAUUAAGCUUUCGGCCUAAAACAUGAUCCUAUCGAGUUCACAAAAUAGAUAUUUAUUUUGAAUUAAACAAAACAACAAUAAAUCAAAAUUAAUCCAAAUUCACUUUUCAUGAAGUUUUCAAUCCUCACCCAAUUAUCCAAUUACCGAUUUCAAUUAUCCAACAAGAUAUCAUUUUCAUCUAAUUUAUAUCGUUCGAGGUCAAUCAUUCAACAAAAAUACAUAUCAAGAAACAAAUCACUCCCAGAUAGAACAAACACAUCAAAAUACCUCCAUAAUCAUAUAAAAUUAAAAGAGUAGAGUUGAAGAUCGGACCUUAAUCGUUGAUUUUAUUCCAACCAAUCAGUGAUGGAUCGGAACUCAUGGAGCAACGGAACCUCGACCCAAAUGAACCUUGGCAUUGAACCCGCAACUCAAACAACCCAAUGUGUUUUGAAACUGGAAGUGACUAGUCACAGUUUUUCCGGCGGUGGUUUGCUUCGUCGGAGCUCCGACGGACCCCAGCAGUUUGAGUUAUCAACGUUUUCCAGUGAUAUUUCACCGUAACGGUAGCUCUCCGUCUUUUCCUCUCCGAUUUUCUCUCGAUCGCUUCUAUCUCUCUCUUUCUCUCGUUGUUUUCUCUCUGAUCACACCCUUUUCUCUGAUCACCUUCUCUGUAUUUUCUCCUUUGUUCCUCACUCCAUCUCUCACUGGUUUCUAUCCCAUUUUGUUGUGUGUGUGCGUGAAUUGGUGUGUAUUGAGAGUCAGUGUGUGUGAUUGGAAUUUCGGUGAGGGUGAUGUGUUUAUUAUUUUCCGGUGAGGGUCGUUGUUUACUGUGUGAGUAUGGAGUAUGUGUGAAUUUUCAUGGUGGAGUGGUGAGGAAGAUGUGAGUGUGUGUGAAGCGUAUCUUUGGGAGGUGAGUGUGUGCGUAUGGCCAUGUAUCCUAUGGAGGAGCUGUGAGAGUGUGUGAAUAUGUAGCUGUGUAUGUGAGUUUGUUAAGGGAAAUCAAGAUGAAAAAAAAAAACGUGUAAGGGAUAGGGGUAGGGGAUAUGUGGGUAUAGAGUGUAGGGGGUGUGAGUUGGUUGAAUUUAAUUGAGUGAGGUGUUAAUUUGUUAGGAUGAGGUGCCAAAAUUGUUAGGAAUUUUGUUAUUUUUGGCUUUUUAUGGAAGAAUUAUGGAAUGGAAUUGGGGUGGG